rnacentral:pre_miRNA from 1 species
GGCCUUCCUCUGUGGUGCAAUCGAUCUGGGGGCCCCGUGAUCGAUCGCCCUGCAGAGGGAGGCU